AUAUUUAUCUGGCAGGGGAAAUGCCAUGACCACGAAGGUGGUUUUCGCAGGGCACGGCUUACCUAUUGCGCUGCGGAUGUGCUGAGCCCUGGAGUUCCCCCCAAUGUGGGAAACUCGACUGCGUUAAUUAGUGGUGGCGGGGGACUGCCUUUGUGCUCUCCCUUG